rnacentral:tRNA from 1 species
GGGGAGGUUCCCGAGCGGUCAAAGGGAACAGACUGUAAAUCUGUCGGUGAAACCUUCGGAGGUUCGAAUCCUCCCCUCCCCA